GACAGAGGGUGCAAACGUUGCUCGGAAUCACUGGGCGUAAAGGGCUCGUAGGCGGCCAACUAAGUCAUACGUGAAAUCCCUCGGCUUAACCGGGGAACUGCGUCUGAUACUGGAUGGCUUGAGUUCGGGAGAGGGAUGCGGAAUUCCAGGUGUAGCGGUGAAAUGCGUAGAUAUCUGGAGGAACACCGGUGGCGAAGGCGGCAUCCUGGACCGAUACUGACGCUGAGGAGCGAAAGCCAGGGGAGCAAACGGG
rnacentral:rRNA from 1 species